rnacentral:rRNA from 1 species
GACGAACGCUGGCGGCGCGCUUAACACAUGCAAGUCGAGCGAAGCGGCGGACGGGUGAGUAACACGUGAGUAACCUGCCUUAGACAUUGGGAUAGCCUCGGGAAACCGGGAUUAAUACCAAAUGGUCUAAGAUGGACUCGCGUCUUAUCGGCUUGUUGGUGGGUAGUGGCCUACCAAGGGGACGGCGGGUAGCCGGCCUGAGAGAGCGACCGGCCAACUUGGGGCUGAGAUGCUGCCCGAACGCUACGUGGGGCAGAAGUGAGGAUGGUUGCACGAUGGAGGAAGCCCUGAUGCAGCAACGCCGAGGGCGUGAUGACGGCCAUCUGGUUGUAAACCGCUUUCAGCCAUGACGCGGUAGGGGCAGAAGAAGCACCGGCUAACUACGUGCCAGCCGCCGCGGUAAUAC